UGGUGUAGUGUUAAGGUUUGACUUAUGAGUGGUGUAGUGUUAAGGUUUGACUUGUGAGUGGUGUAGUGUUAAGAAGUCUUUGAGAAGCCCUGCACUGAAUGGGAUGCGGGGCCAGAUCAGAGCCAUGCCAAAGAACUGGGAAGGAUGGUCACAUCCACCCAGGAGCACAACAUAGACUUACCUUUCCACCCAGGAGCACAACAUAGACUUACCUGUCCAUGCAGUCAAAGUUGAAGCUCACUGAAACUUUCAUUGUAUGUACUCUCUAGUUAGGGCAUAGGACACCACUUAGAGCCCUAAACAAAUGGAAGCUUGUCAUCUAGUAGUUAGUGUGUAUAGCAGUGAUUUCUUUUCAACUCAUUUCCCAAUUUCAUUUUAACCUAAACAGUAGAUAAAGAGAGAUAAACAAACAGACAUAAUUUCAACCUGUACCGCCAAAAUCCUGCUGUGAGACAGAGUGUGUAUAAUAAUUUUUUAGCAAAAUGGAUUAUCUCUCUUUUGGAAACAAGAUGUUUGGAGGUGAGCCACAUAAUGUUCUGAGCUGAUUUUGGCUGCCAUGAAUGGCGUUAAUGGAGCUGGGGCUAAAGAAGCACAACUGCCAAAAAGAGAGAGAGAGGGAGAACAUUUUGUAAACACACACUUUUCGUAAACACACCUGGAAAAGACAAGGCAAACCGGGGAAACGCGGCCAAAAUAUUUCUCAGACGGAGGUUUCUGUGACCUUGAGAAGUGAACAGUCUCCGGUCCUAGAUGAAUGCAGCGCUGUGUCUGAGUGGCAGAUCUGCCGUUAGAUGUUGCUUCUAGAAUUCUUCCAAGAUUAGACCGUUUUUAUCUUUCACUGUGGCGCCCCUAGAUAUCUUUUUCAUCGAAGGUUUCCAGUCAGUUCCUUUGGGCAUCUGAUGGGAACGCUCCUUUAUGGCUGUCGUGGAGAUUAAAUGUGUCUCUCAGGCCUGUGUGACAGAUAGUGCCCGCCAUGUGAAUUACGGGUAUCUCAGCCAUCAUUCUGCACAAUUAACCCAGUGCUGUUUGUUACGUGCUGUUAGUUUUGGGGUUAUGAUUGCGGCUAUGAUUCUGCCGCUGCCACUUCCCCUGCCAUCUCAUUGAGAGGUUAUGGAGCAGUGUGGAAAUUUACAGCUUCUAAUAUGGAGGUUUCAAUCUCAUACAUCUCCCUGCGGGGGGAGAGGGGAGGUGUUUGCUCCUGUGUUUAUGGGGGCAGGGGCUGUUUUUUUUUUGUUGUUUUUUUUUUUUUUUCAAUAGCUCCGCACUGUGUCGUUUUAGGACAAAGAAACAAAGUAGGCAGCUUCCUGAUUCUAGGUGUUUCAAUAGCUGCAAGCCUCCACACAGCUUGGGUAUCCUAGUAACGGAGUGAGAGGCCUACAUAUGAACAGUUAUGUAAAUGAAUAACAAUUGUUCAUCAAAAUGGCUGAAAGAGCUUUUACUUUGCAACCAGAAUGUCACAGGCAUUCACUGACAAAGCCACAAAUCAAAAUUAUGGUAAUUAAAUCCCAUUUUUUGAGGCCAUAUCAAUUCGGAUUUCUCAUACGAGUAGCAUUGUACUUGUAACAUUAAAUGCAAGUGGUCUCGCAAAUGGAGAUUUCAAAAUGUCCACCAGAACUCAAGUUUCCCCUGCUCUACUUUACUACCCAUUCCGUUCA
ensembl:lncRNA